rnacentral:rRNA from 1 species
UACGUAGGGCGCAAGCGUUAUCCGGAAUUAUUGGGCGUAAAGAGCUCGUAGGCGGUUUGUCGCGUCUGCUGUGAAAACUGGGGGCUCAACCCCCAGCCUGCAGUGGGUACGGGCAGACUAGAGUGCGGUAGGGGAGACUGGAAUUCCUGGUGUAGCGGUGAAAUGCGCAGAUAUCAGGAGGAACACCGAUGGCGAAGGCAGGUCUCUGGGCCAUAACUGACGCUGAGAAGCGAAAGCAUGGGGAGCGAACAGG